UACAGGGGGUGCAAACGUUGCUCGGAAUCAUUGGGCGUAAAGCGCACGUAGGCGGUUCGUUAUGUCGGAUGUGAAAGCCCUUGGCUUAACCGAGGAAGUGCAUCCGAAACUGGCGAGCUAGAGUACGAAAGAGGAUCGCGGAAUUCCCGGUGUAGAGGUGAAAUUCGUAGAUAUCGGGAGGAACACCGGUGGCGAAGGCGGCGAUCUGGGUCGAUACUGACGCUGAGGAGCGAAAGCAUGGGGAGCGAACAGG
rnacentral:rRNA from 1 species